rnacentral:rRNA from 1 species
CUUUUCUGAUGACGACCGGCGCACGGGUGCGUAACGCGUAUACAACCUACCUUUUAGCGGGGAAUAGCCCAGGGAAACUUGGAUUAAUGCCCCAUAGUAUAUAGACUUCUCCUGAAGUUUAUAUUAAACAUUUAUGGCUAUUAGAUGGGUAUGCGUCCUAUUAGUUAGUUGGUAAGGUAACGGCUUACCAAGGCAGCAAUAGGUAGGGGUCCUGAGAGGGAGAUCCCCACACUGGUACUGAGACACGGACCAGACUCCUACGGGAGGCAGCAGUGAGGAAUAUUGGACAAUGGGCGAGAGCCUGAUCCAGCCAUGCCGCGUGCAGGAAGACUGCCCUAUGGGUUGUAAACUGCUUUUACAGAGGAAGAACCACCCCCACGUGUGGGGGUUUGACGGUACUCUGCGAAUAAGGAUCGGCUAACUCCGUG